rnacentral:rRNA from 1 species
GACGAACGCUGGCGGCGUGCCUAAUACAUGCAAGUCGAGCGGACCAAAGGGAGCUCGCUCCUGGAGGUUAGCGGCGAACGGGUGAGUAACACGUGGGCAACCUGCCUGUAAGACUGGGAUAACAUCGAGAAAUCGGUGCUAAUACCGGAUAAUAAAAAGAACUGCAUGGUUCUUUUUGAAAGAUGGUUUCGGCUAUCACUUACAGAUGGGCCCGCGGCGCAUUAGCUAGUUGGUGAGGUAACGGCUCACCAAGGCAACGAUGCGUAGCCGACCUGAGAGGGUGAUCGGCCACACUGGGACUGAGACACGGCCCAGACUCCUACGGAGGCAGCAGUAGGGAAUCUUCCGCAAUGGACGAAAAGUCUGACGGAGCAACGCCGCGUGAGUGAUGAAGGUUUUCGGAUCGUAAAACUCU